GCCUUGGUGGCAUAAUGGUUAAGCACUCAGCUAGUAACUGGAAGGUUGGCAGUUUGAAUCUCCCCAGUGGCU
rnacentral:tRNA from 1 species